UUCACAAACUUAUUGCAACAGUCCAUUAGUUUUUAUAAGCCCUGUAAAAGAACUCAGAAGGUUGGGCCUUCAACCAGGCCUCUAUAGCAGCAAUCACUUCCGAAUUGGAGUGAAAUUUCAUUCCCUUGAGAUGUUUCUUCAGUUGUAGAAAGAGAUUAUAGUUGUAAAG